ACUUGUCUCCAAAAGCUGUCGUAAUAAAUGGAAUAUGCGGUAUGGUAAUUGACUUGACUCCUGGUGUGUUAUUCUCCUUUCCAACAAACCAACUCGGUGCCAUCGAUUGACACAGGGUGAGGUCACUGGGAAACAACAGCGCGGCCAACACUCAAACUGCCUGUCUUGUUCAGUUCCAAAGAUGUGUUGUUGAGCUGGGGG